UACGAAGGGGGGCUAGCGUUGUUCGGAGUUACUGGGCGUAAAGAGUGCGUAGGCGGUUUUCUAAGUUUGGUGUGAAAUCUCCCGGCUUAACUGGGAGGGUGCGCCGAAGACUGGAAGGCUUGAGUAUGGGAGAGGUAAGCGGAAUUCCUGGUGUAGCGGUGAAAUGCGUAGAUAUCAGGAGGAACACCGGUGGCGAAGGCGGCAUCCUGGACCGGUAUUGACGCUGAGGCGCGAAAGCCAGGGGAGCAAACGGG
rnacentral:rRNA from 1 species